CUGGACUGAUUAAAACAGGGAUUUGUUCAGGAAGUAUAGACACACACAAGAUCUUUUGAGGCUAUUAAGGUAGUGUUUAAUAAAGAAGUUCCUCAGACAGGAAGUCGAGAGCAGUACUUUGGGAAGCCCUGCUGCUGCUGAGCUUCUAGAGCACCUGCAGUCCAGAUACUGGAGCUCUGCUCACCUGCACUCGACUCAAAUCUGAUGCAGCACCAGAUUGUGGAGGAAGCUCCUACGAGAAGCUUGAGUUUGAUGCAGAAUGGCUGGCUAUCUUGAAAUCGACAGACAACCUUCAGAAACCAUCCCAAUUUCUGGAACCCUCCACUGGACAACUGACUACACAGCAGAUACAAAACACAUGACAAUUAUCACAGUUGCUCAUUUUCUGAAAGCUUUCUGAUACCACUUAUUCAUUUAUAUUUCUACGUAUUUUAACAUCCUGUUCCUCUGCUUCUUUCAGGUGGGAUUUCAGUCCAUCAGACAGACAUCUACAUCCUUGUCCAGGGCAAAGCGGACAGACUUACAGGGAGGAGUUUUUUCAACUUCCUUGAUGACUAGAAAUUUCAGAAGAACUGCGUUUAUGGGAAUUAAAAAUGUAAGACAUUACAAAUGACUUUAUCGUCACUUUUGUUCAAUUUAAAGUAUCCUUGUUAAAUAGAACUCUUCAUUUUAAAAUGUUCUUUGACAAAAAAGAAGAGAAGGGGGAAAAUAUACUCUCUCCAAGCUGUUCACUUUAAUAGAUGGUGCUUUUCCCUGUAAAAAAAAUCAACUGGUCAUGUUAAAAUCAAAGAGAUUUGACUCAUUUUAGAUAUUGUACAUUUCUCUGGUAAUUAGUCAUUAGUUUUUGUUUUAUUUUGUAAAUUACUGGUGACAUUUUCUAAACAUAGAAAUGACAUUUAAACAUUUCUCUUUAUUUGCUUAAAAUAACAAAAUAGUAUCAAGUUUUCAGACAUGCUCAUUUUAGUCAACACAGUACUAAUGUUUUAGCUUUAGAGGAGUUAGUCAAUUUACUAACCUCGAUUUUCAGUCACAGUGAGUUUUUCUGACAGCUGCCAUUUUCUGAAGAAGUGUUCUGAAUGACAAUAUUUUUACUUGACAUGUUGAAGAAAUGUUAUCAGACCUUUUAUAGAAUAAAAUGCAUGUGAACAUUUCACUUGAACCCAUAAAUUCAGAGAAACU